rnacentral:ncRNA from 1 species
UUAAAGAUGAUGACUGGGAAGAGUAAGUUAAAUGAAGGUUACAGAGAGCAGGCAUGGUGCUGGAAUUGCCGCAGCCGGUCCUUAACUGAAGACCAUCCCACGAGUUGGCUGUCAAAUGCAGUACCGGAGCACUGUCCGUUAUCAGUAUCAGAGUGGGUAUACCAUGUAUACCAAUUUGGGUGGAACCGCGUAAUAAACGUCCCAUUG